GAGAGAGAGCGCAUAAGAGCGCUAGGCAGAAUGAUUCUAUAAGGCUAAUGAAGACAGAAACUGUGCCUGUAACAAUAUUAAGUUUAUUUUCUCUAGUGAUACGAAGAAGUGAGCAAUCUGUCACUAAUACACUAAGUGAAAUUACUUGUCUUGUUGGAAUUCCUGCUGACAGUCAGUCACUCACAGCAUUGACCUGAAAAUCUACCUGCUGACAAACAAAUUGCAGUGUCAAACUUUGAAAAGGUUUGAAUGUCUGCACUUUUGGAAGUCCUGGUCUUGUGAGAGUAAUAAAAUAAUGAAAAGGAUCACUGUGAGAAAGACAGAUUCCAUCCAAAGGACAAUAUGAGGAAAUUCUGCCCUAAAAAUGAUCGCUGAGCAAAUUUCUCCUUGUCACCAGUCAGGAUCGUAAAAAAAAUUCUGAAACCACUAGGACUGGCUUUUUGAUUGUGGUAUAAAGUAUUCUGUAACCCCAAAAA